UGAGCAAUCUGCCCUUCUCUUUGGAAUAAGCGUGGGAAACCGCGUCUAAUGCCGAAUACGACCUCCUUUCGCAUGAUCGGAGGUGGAAAGCUCCGGCGGAGAAGGAUGAGCUCGCGGCCUAUCAGCCAGUUGGUGUGGGUAAUGGCCCACCAAGGCGACGACGGGUAGCCGGCCUGAGAGGGUGACCCGGCCACACUGGGACUGAGACACGGCCCAGACCUCCGUACGGGAGNAGCG
rnacentral:rRNA from 1 species